rnacentral:misc_RNA from 1 species
AGUCGUAACAAGGUAUCCGUAGGUGAACCUGCGGAUGGAUCAUUACCAAAGUGACCCAUCCCUACUCUUGUGAACUGGUUUUACACGGUCGGCGCCAGCCCUGAGCGUUACUCGCGCUCCGGGACCCGGAUCCGUGCAGAUCUUGUGAGCGAUGCCCUAGGCACUGCUCACGGGUCUGCCCGCACAUUCGGGGCGUCGGCUGUACCGCAAACGUAUAAUCAAGAUGAACUAAAGUACCUUACAAAGAACCUAAAGAAAACUUUUAGCAAUGGAUCUCUAGGCUCUU